UGGGUAACCUGCCCAAGAGAUCGGGAUAACACCUGGAAACAGAUGCUAAUACCGGAUAACAACAGAUGGUGCCUAUCAACUGUUUAAAAGAUGGUUCUGCUAUCACUCUUGGAUGGACCUGCGGUGCAUUAGCUAGUUGGUAGGGUAACGGCCUACCAAGGCGAUGAUGCAUAGCCGAGUUGAGAGACUGAUCGGCCACAUUGGGACUGAGACACGGCCCAAACUCCUACGGGAGGCAGCAGGG
rnacentral:rRNA from 1 species